CCUACGGGAGGCAGCAGUGGGGAAUUUUCCGCAAUGGGCGAAAGCCUGACGGAGCAAUGCCGCGUGGAGGUAGAAGGCCCACGGGUCAUGAACUUCUUUUCUCAGAGAAGAAGCAAUGACGGUAUCUGAGGAAUAAGCAUCGGCUAACUCUGUGCCAGCAGCCGCGGUAAU
rnacentral:rRNA from 1 species